UACGGGGGGGGCAAGCGUUGUUCGGAAUUACUGGGCGUAAAGGGCUCGUAGGCGGCCAACUAAGUCAGACGUGAAAUCCCUCGGCUUAACCGGGGAACUGCGUCUGAUACUGGAUGGCUUGAGUUCGGGAGAGGGAUGUGGAAUUCCAGGUGUAGCGGUGAAAUGCGUAGAGAUCCGGAGGAACACCAGAGGCGAAGGCGGCCUACUGGGUCAGUACUGACGCUGAGCCGCGAAAGCCAGGGGAGCGAACGGG
rnacentral:rRNA from 1 species